CACGUAGGGGACGAGCGUUGUCCGGAUUCAUUGGGCGUAAAGCGCGCGUAGGCGGCCCGGUAAGUCGGAUGUGAAAACCUGGGGCUCAACCCCAGGCGUGCACCCGAUACUCCCGGGCUGGAGGCAGGGAGGGGAGAUCGGAAUUCCUGGUGUAGCGGUGAAAUGCGCAGAUAUCAGGAGGAACACCGGUGGCGAAGGCGGAUCUCUGGGCCUUGCCUGACGCUGAGGCGCGAAAGCUAGGGGAGCGAACAGG
rnacentral:rRNA from 1 species